rnacentral:rRNA from 1 species
AUUGAACGCUGGCGGAAUGCUUUACACAUGCAAGUCGAACGGCAGCACGGACUUCGGUCCGGUGGCGAGUGGCGAACGGGUGAGUAAUGUAUCGGAACGUGCCCAGUCGUGGGGGAUAACGUAGUGAAAAUUACGCUAAUACCGCAUACGAUCUAUGGAUGAAAGCGGGGGAUCGCAAGACCUCGCGCGAUUGGAGCGGCCGAUAUCAGAUUAGGUAGUUGGUGGGGUAAAGGCCCACCAAGCCAACGAUCUGUAGCUGGUCUGAGAGGACGGCCAGCCACACGGGAACUGAGACACGGUCCAGACUCCUGCGGGAGGCAGCAGUGGAGAAUUUUGGACAAUGGGCGAAAGCCUGAUCCAGCCAUUCCGCGUGCAGGAUGAAGGCCCUCGGGUUGUAAACUGCUUUUGUACAGAACGAAAAGGUUUCUACUAAUACUAGGAGCUCAUGACGGUACUGUAAGAAUAAGCACCGGCUAACUACGUGCCAGCCGCCGCCGUAA